UACGGAGGGUGCAAGCAUUAAUCGGAUUUAUUGGGCGUAAAGAGCGCGUAGGCGGGUUCUUAAGUCAGAUGUGAAACCCCGGGGCUCAACCCCGGAACAGCAUUUGAAACUGGGAAUCUUGAGGGUAGUCGGAGGAAAUGGAAUUCCACGUGUAGCGGUGAAAUGCGUAGAUAUGUGGGAGAACACCGGUGGCGAAGGCGGUUUUCUAGCUUAUACCUGACGCUGAGGCGUGAAAGUAAGGGGAUCAAACAGG
rnacentral:rRNA from 1 species